rnacentral:rRNA from 1 species
UACGAAGGGUGCAAGCGUUACUCGGAAUUACUGGGCGUAAAGGGUGCGUAGGUGGUUGUUUAAGUCUGUUGUGAAAGCCCCGGGCUCAACCUGGGAAUGGCAAUGGAUACUGGACAGCUAGAGUGCGGUAGAGGGUAGCGGAAUUCCCGGUGUAGCAGUGAAAUGCGUAGAGAUCGGGAGGAACACCAGUGGCGAAGGCGGCUACCUGGACCAGCACUGACACUGAAGCACGAAAGCGUGGGGAGCAAACAGG